rnacentral:rRNA from 1 species
UACGAGAGGCCCAAACGUUAUUCGGAAUUACUGGGCUUAAAGAGUUCGUAGGCGGCAUGACAAGUAGGGUGUGAAAGCCCCCGGCUCAACUGGGGAGGGUCACGCGAUACUGAUCGACUCGAAGGCAGGAGAGGGAAGUGGAAUUCCCGGUGUAGUGGUGAAAUGCGUAGAUAUCGGGAGGAACACCAGUGGCGAAGGCGACUUCCUGGCCUGUUCUUGACGCUGAGGCGCGAAAGCUAGGGGAGCAAACGGG